AGACCAGGCUUAGUUUGCUUAGUAAGAAAGGCAAUAUUUUUGUUGAAUUUCACAUUUUCUACCAAGUAACGAAUUAACCUUUUUGAAAUCGCAGAGGAGAUCACAGCAGGAAAUGAAGCCAUAUCCUGUACACGCUGGCUACCACAUAUGAACCAUCAGAGAGAUGGAGGGCAAUGUCUGGAAGAAGGACGGGAAGAGGGAAUAUAAGAACAUUCAGUAUUAAUGGAUUCCAAACUCCGUGUGAUAACCAGCCGGUCCUGGACCAGUUUAUCAUCGCAGUGUGGACUGAUUCUCUUUUGCAGGAAGUUAGUUUUGACUUCACCAGCUGGAUUGGAGGGCACCUGUGGCAUACCUUGUCCUAUUGCUGUGGGGGACUUCGUCCAGCUUUUAGACAUGCAAGACUAAAUGUGAAUACCAUCUAUACCACAGCCUCAAGCCCUGGCCGUCACAGCAAGUUCCUGAUUCUCCUGCUGUGAAGCUGCUGUGAGAGUGAAAAGGCUGUGGGGCAUCUCCAGGCUGAGUGUGAGACGAUGCUCCCACAGACUUACUUCCUGCCAGCCACACCUUGGGGAGAAACAAAAGGAUGCAAUGCCAAGAUGAUAUGAUUGCCUAUAUAGAAAAUCUGAAAGAAUCAACAGAAUAACUGAAACUUUAUAAUAAUUUUAUAGCAAGCAUGCAGGAUACAAGAAACUGAUUUUGCAACAUUGCUAAACUAGCAGACUGGAGAGAUGCUCACAAUUCUCAGAUGAUAUGAGUGUUUCUCUGCAUGGGCAUCAGAGCUGCCACUGCUUGACAUUCCAAGAACUUCCCAGCUACAGGUUCAUCACCUUCUCCUCCCAGGAAAGACAUGUGAGAUUCUGCACAGAGACAGGAAUGUCGUGCCAAAGAGCCUGAAGUCAUGCCAGUGGUGGAGUGCUGAUUGGAACAGACUGGGUUUGGAUGACAUCUCUACUCAUCUGUAAUGGAAGCUGUGUCAAAAUAGGAAAAAUUUUGAAAAACUCUGGUGGCCUUUGGGUGAUGAAGUUAAUGAUAAUUGCCACCUUUUUUCAUGAAGUUUCUUGAACUUUGACAACUUUAGGAACAAUAAUACUGAUAUUGAUAAUAUGUCAUCUUGUUCUCAUGUUCUGUGAUUCUGAAGAAGCAAGAACUGACCACCAUGUACAUCAGCUGGAACCUUUCUGGAAUCCACACAGUGUAAUAAUCCUUAGGAAAAGCUACCUGGGAUUCAGCUGUUACAAUCAGAAGGCCACGAACACUCAACUGGAACCUUUCAUAAUCCCAGUAAAAGGAAA
ensembl:lncRNA novel transcript